AGGGAAACCGAGUCUUAAUUGGGCGUUAAGUUGCAGGGUAUAGACCCGAAACCCGGUGAUCUAGCCAUGGGCAGGUUGAAGGUUGGGUAACACUAACUGGAGGACCGAACCGACUAAUGUUGAAAAAUUAGCGGAUGACCUGUGGCUGGGGGUGAAAGGCCAAUCAAACCGGGAGAUAGCUGGUUCUCCCCGAAAGCUAUUUAGGUAGCGCCUCGUGAAUUCAUCUCCGGGGGUAGAGCACUGUUUCGGCUAGGGGGCCAUCCCGGCUUACCAACCCGAUGCAAACUGCGAAUACCGGAGAAUGUUAUCACGGGAGACACACGGCGGGUGCUAACGUCCGUCGUGAAGAGGGAAACAACCCAGACCGCCAGCUAAGGUCCCAAAGUCAUGGUUAAGUGGGAAACGAUGUGGGAAGGCCCAGACAGCCAGGAUGUUGGCUUAGAAGCAGCCAUCAUUUAAAGAAAGCGUAAUAGCUCACUGGUCGAGUCGGCCUGCGCGGAAGAUGUAACGGGGCUAAACCAUGCACCGAAGCUGCGGCAGCGAACGUAUCACUUAAAGCGAUUCAGCGGGUUACGAUUGACGGAGCGAAGCGACGUCAAAGCGUAUACAAAGUCGAGUCGGUUUAAGGAUACGUUCGUUGGGUAGGGGAGCGUUCUGUAAGCCUGUGAAGGUGGCCUGUGAGGGUUGCUGGAGGUAUCAGAAGUGCGAAUGCUGACAUAAGUAACGAUAAAGCGGGUGAAAAGCCCGCUCGCCGGAAGACCAAGGGUUCCUGUCCAACGUUAAUCGGGGCAGGGUGAGUCGACCCCUAAGGCGAGGCCGAAAGGCGUAGUCGAUGGGAAACAGGUUAAUAUUCCUGUACUUGGUGUUACUGCGAAGGGGGGACGGAGAAGGCUAUGUUGGCCGGGCGACGGUUGUCCCGGUUUAAGCGUGUAGGCUGGUUUUCCAGGCAAAUCCGGAAAAUCAAGGCUGAGGCGUGAUGACGAGGCACUACGGUGCUGAAGCAACAAAUGCCCUGCUUCCAGGAAAAGCCUCUAAGCAUCAGGUAACAUCAAAUCGUACCCCAAACCGACACAGGUGGUCAGGUAGAGAAUACCAAGGCGCUUGAGAGAACUCGGGUGAAGGAACUAGGCAAAAUGGUGCCGUAACUUCGGGAGAAGGCACGCUGACACGUAGGUGAAGUGAUUUACUCAUGGAGCUGAAGUCAGUCGAAGAUACCAGCUGGCUGCAACUGUUUAUUAAAAACACAGCACUGUGCAAACACGAAAGUGGACGUAUACGGUGUGACGCCUGCCCGGUGCCGGAAGGUUAAUUGAUGGGGUCAGCGCAAGCGAAGCUCCUGAUCGAAGCCCCGGUAAACGGCGGCCGUAACUAUAACGGUCCUAAGGUAGCGAAAUUCCUUGUCGGGUAAGUUCCGACCUGCACGAAUGGCGUAAUGAUGGCCAGGCUGUCUCCACCCGAGACUCAGUGAAAUUGAACUCGCUGUGAAGAUGCAGUGUACCCGCGGCAAGACGGAAAGACCCCGUGAACCUUUACUAUAGCUUGACACUGAACAUUGAGCCUUGAUGUGUAGGAUAGGUGGGAGGCUUUGAAGUGUGGACGCCAGUCUGC
rnacentral:rRNA from 1 species